AUUGAACGCUGGCGGCAGGCUUAACACAUGCAAGUCGAGCGGAUGAGGGGUGCUUGCACCCCGAUUCAGCGGCGGACGGGUGAGUAAUGCCUAGGAAUCUGCCCGAUAGUGGGGGACAACGUUUCGAAAGGAACGCUAAUACCGCAUACGUCCUACGGGAGAAAGUGGGGGCUCUUCGGCCCUCACGCUAGCGGAUGAGCCUAGGUCGGAUUAGCUAGUUGGUGGGGUAAAGGCUCACCAAGGCGACGAUCCGUAACUGGUCUGAGAGGAUGAUCAGUCACACUGGAACUGAGACACGGUCCAGACUCCUACGGGAGGCAGCAGUGGGGAAUAUUGGACAAUGGGCGAAAGCCUGAUCCAGCCAUGCCGCGUGUGUGAAGAAGGUCUUCGGAUUGUAAAGCACUUUAAGUCGGGAGGAAGGGUUGUAGGUUAAUACCUUGCAGCCUUGACGUUACCGACAGAAUAAGCACCGGCUAACUUCGUGCCAGCAGCCGCCGCAG
rnacentral:rRNA from 1 species